rnacentral:rRNA from 1 species
GAAAGAGUGGCUAAUACAUGAUGUGCUGGCUCACUGUGGUGAGCCAGUAAAGACUGGAUCGCUUUGGGAUGGGGUUGCGUUCCAUCAGCUAGUUGGUAGGGUAAAGGCCUACCAAGGCGACGACGGAUAGCCGGCCUGAGAGGGUGGCCGGCCACAGGGGCACUGAGACACGGGUCCCACUCCUACGGGAGGCAGCAGUUAGGAAUCUUCCACAAUGGGCGCAAGCCUGAUGGAGCGACGCCGCGUGAGGGAUGAAGGUUCUCGGAUCGUAAACCUCUGAAUCAACGACGAAAGACCCGACGAGGGGGAUGACGGUAGUUGAGUAAUAGCACCGGCUAACUCCGUGC